rnacentral:rRNA from 1 species
UACGGAGGAUCCGAGCGUUAUCCGGAUUUAUUGGGUUUAAAGGGUGCGCAGGCGGGAGAUUAAGUCGGCGGUGAAAUUUUGCAGCUCAACUGUAAAAGUGCCUUCGAUACUGGUUUCCUUGAGUGUGGAUGAAGUAGGCGGAAUUUGUGGUGUAGCGGUGAAAUGCUUAGAUAUCACACAGAACACCGAUUGCGAAGGCAGCACACUAAGUCAUUAUUGACGCUGAGGCACGAAAGUGUGGGGAUCAAACAGGAUUAGAUACCCG